UCGAGCGAAGACUUCGGUCUUAGCGGCGGACGGGUGAGUAACGCGUGGGAACGUGCCUUUCACUACGGAAUAGUCCCGGGAAACUGGGUUUAAUACCGUAUACGCCCUUCGGGGGAAAGAAUUUCGGUGAGAGAUCGGCCCGCGUCUGAUUAGGUAGUUGGUGGGGUAAUGGCCUACCAAGCCGACGAUCAGUAGCUGGUUUGAGAGGAUGAUCAGCCACACUGGGACUGAGACACGGCCCAGACUCCUACGGGAGGCAGCAGUGAGGAAUCUUGGACAAUGGGGGCAACCCUGAUCCAGCCAUGCCGCGUGAACGAUGAAGGCCUUAGGGUUGUAAAGUUCUUUCAACGGUGAAGAUAAUGACGGUAGCCGUAGAAGAAACCCCGGCUAACUCCGUGCCAGCAGCCGCGGUAAUACGGAGGGGGUUAGCGUUGUUCGGAAUUACUGGGCGUAAAGCGCACGUAGGCGGACUAUUAAGUCAGGGGUGAAAUCCCGGGGCUCAACCCCGGAACUGCCUUUGAUACUGGUAGUCUAGAGUUCGAGAGAGGUGAGUGGAAUUCCGAGUGUAGAGGUGAAAUUCGUAGAUAUUCGGAGGAACACCAGUGGCGAAGGCGGCUCACUGGCUCGAUACUGACGCUGAGGUGCGAAGGCGUGGGGAGCAAACAGGAUU
rnacentral:rRNA from 1 species